UGUUUCACUGGAAAUCACUAAAGUGGGCCAGAGCCAAGUUUGGUUGGAAGUUGGGCAACACUGUUUUUGCCCCAAAGUGAUUAAAAUGAUCAUAGUCAUGAUGCUGACUUUGCUGUGGGACUUGGGGAAAUGGUUCUGAAGAUAGUUGCGAAGAGGGAAAGGUUUCAAUCUGGGUUUGCCUUGGCUCCAAAGAGGAGGUCCUUGAGGAGAACCUCCAGCCUCUGCUGACCUCUCUCAGUCCGCCUGGCGCCUCCGACACUGCCGGGCCAUCACGGCUCCACCCCCGCCGAUAUCACCACCCCUUCACGGGCUGCAUCCUGGUCUCCGUCUCUUCUGACCCAGGGCUCGGCGGGAAGAUGGGCUCCCGCGGGCUGAGACUCGCGCUGGCGUGCUGUCUGCUGCUGGCCUUCGCCUGUGGUCUGGUGCUGGGCCGAGUGCCCCAUGGGCAGCAGGAACAGCAGGAGCACGUGACUCCUGACUCCACAGGCGUGUAAACCCCAUGGCUGGCCAGGUUAGCCAGGGUGGUAACUGACAGUGAGAAACAGGUGAGAUGUUGUGUCUGUUUUAAGCUCAAGCACUGCCCCCUAGUGGGCUCACUGAGAACCACCCCAGUGGUCAGCUCUUUCUAGAAGGACUGUCUCAAUCCUGGACGAAGAGGGUCCUGUCCAGAGCUUUUUGGAGAGACAUGGAGCUGGCUUCAGUGACAAUAAGUGCCCUCUGGGGCUGGGCAGACUC
rnacentral:lncRNA from 1 species